AACGAACGCUGGCGGCAUGCCUAACACAUGCAAGUCGAACGAGACCUUCGGGUCUAGUGGCGCACGGGUGCGUAACGCGUGGGAACCUGCCCUUAGGUUCGGAAUAACUCCCCGAAAGGGGUGCUAAUACCGGAUAAUGUCUUCGGACCAAAGAUUUAUCGCCUUUGGAUGGGCCCGCGUUGAUUAGCUAGUUGGUAGGGUAAAAGCCUACCAAGGCGACGAUCCAUAGCUGGUCUGAGAGGAUGAUCAGCCACACUGGGUCUGAGACACGGCCCAGACUCCUACGGGAAGCAGCAGUGGGGAAUAUUGGACAAUGGGCGAAAGCCUGAUCCAGCAAUGCCGCGUGAGUGAUGAAGGCCUUAGGGUUGUAAAGCUCUUUUACCCGGGAUGAUAAUGACAGUACCGGGAGAAUAAGCUCCGGCUAACUCCGUG
rnacentral:rRNA from 1 species